UCUCAAUUCUCCGCUCCCUGCCUCCCUCCGGCGCCGCUUUCUUCUGACGCGCCAGAUGCUACUGCGAUGGAUUGCAGCCGCGGGGCGUCGGCGAGCGCUGCCAGCCAAGCCCCUCGCGCGCGCGCUCUCGUACGGUAGGGUGGUGGACGCCGCGGCUCGGGACGGGGAGCUCCGGGUGUUCGUGGUCGCGGGCGAGGUCUCCGGCGACUCGCUCGCCUCGCGGCUCAUGGCGUCGCUCAAGGCGCUCUCGCCUGUGCCCGUCCGGUUCGCUGGCGUUGGCGGGGAAUUAAUGUGCAAGGAAGGUUUGCAGUCACUUUUCCCCAUGGAAGAAAUUGCCAUUAUGGGCUUGUGGGAGCUGCUGCCACACAUAUAUAGUGUCAAGAAGAAAAUUGGGAAUACUGUAAAUGCAGCUAUGUUAUUCCAACCUCAUGCUGUGGUUACAGUUGAUUCAAAGGGGUUCUCUUUUCGCCUAUUGAAGCAACUGAAAUGCAGAAGCAAUCAAAAGGUUCAAAGUCCUCUACAUAUCCAUUAUGUUUCACCAUCAUUCUGGGCCUGGAAAGGUGGUGAAAGCAGGCUCUCAAAGCUGCAUGAUUUUGUGGAUCACAUGUUGUGUAUUCUUCCAUUUGAGGAAGAAAUAUGCAGAUUAAAUGGGUUGCCUGCUACUUAUGUGGGUCAUCCAUUAUUGGAUGAUGCUAUUGGCUUGAACAUGGGACCUGAAUUGUCUCAUGACAACUCUAAACAUCAAAAGAGUUGUGAAGCUUUCCGGCUGGAACAUGGGCUGUCCUCAGAUGCCACAAUCAUAACCAUUAUGCCGGGAAGUAGGAUGCAGGAGGUAGUUCGAAUGCUUCCAAUCUUUUUGCAUUCUGUGCAAAACUUAAGGCAUACAUUUCAUGAACUGUCACUAGUCAUCCCAGUUGCUCCACAUCGAGAUGUGAGAACCUAUGUUGAAAAGGCUGUUCAGUCAGGGCCUUUUCCAGUGGUGUUGAUACCUGGGGGUUCGCUUAAGGAAAGAUAUGAUGCAUUCAGUGCUAGUAGAGCAGCAUUAUGUACUUCAGGGACAGCUGUUAUGGGACUAAUGCUUGCAAAAUUACCCUGUGUGGUAGCUUACCAAGCUCAUUUCAUUACAGAAUGCUUGAUCCACUUGAGGAAAAAGAUAAACUUUAUUUCUCUGCCCAACAUUCUCAUGAACUCUCCUGUUGUGCCUGAGGUCCUUUUUCGAGCUUGUACAGCCAAGAAUCUAGCUGCAAAUCUAAGGUAGUAUUUUCUAACGUAGACCCUUUUAUAGAGGUACAAGGGGAGCGUCUAACUAUGCAAAAUAAUCACAAACAAGCCUUCACUGAAUUACUCAUUCGAGUUCCUGAAUGUGGGAUGUACAAUAUUUAAGGGUUGAGGGUUUGAAGGUUGUCCUUUGUGUUAUAGUGCCAUCCUUUCUGCACCCAUGGUCUUAUUUAGAGUACCACCUAUUAUAGCACAAUAUCAAUGUGGGAUAUGGUCCCAGGCCUUUUGCAGGCAGUGCACGAUGACAUUCACCAAUGGUUCCUCACAAGCUACAAAAGGCCUAGUAGUACUGAUAGGCAGUAGCAGUGGAUAGCCCUUAUGUUGAGGUAAUCAAACUAUGUCAACAAGCGCGUAUGUAACUUAAGAAAUCCAGGAAACCGGCCGUAACAAGCUUUCUAUUCCUUCUUAAUGCAAUUAAUCGCAGUUCUCCCGUGUGUUCAAGAACAAAAAGGUGGGAUAUGAAUCAUAAGUUUUCUGGUUCUCCGUAUGCAGUAAAUAUGCAAUUUGGCAUUAAUAACAUCACAUAUGGACAAGAAUAACAAGUUAUCUGAUACCUUUGUUAACAGUAAUUCUAGUUUCCAUUUUAUAAGAAGUCAUAAUUUUUUUUAAUGCUUCAAUUUUUCUACAUAUGGCAUAGAACAUCUUUUUCCCUAACCUUUGUCAUCUUGUUGUGUCAGUUGUUGGAAAUAGCAGAUCACCCAUGUGAAUAGUUGAUCAGGUUUUGUGUAUGAACGAAUACAAAUUAGUAAUUUUUCAAGGAUAACAUUGGCAUCAUAUUAUUGCUAGUUACAAAUUACAUCUUCCUUGAUUUCCUGAGUCGCAUUGCAUUUCCAUUUUUUAGCAAUAUUAUGUCUUAAUUUUUAUGUUUUCAUGUUGUGAAUCGGACCUCAACAUAUUUAUCCCAUUUGAUUG